AGAAUCAACGCUGGCGGCGUGCCUAACACAUGCAAGUCGAACGAGAAAGUGGAGCAAUCCAUUAGUAAAGUGGCGCACGGGUGAGUAACACGUGACUAACCUACCCUUGAGUGGGGGAUAACCUAGGGAAACCUGGGCUAAUACCGCAUAAUACCUUCGGGUCAAAGGAGCAAUUCGCUUAAGGGGGGGGUCGCGGCCGAUUAGUUAGUUGGCGGGGUAAUGGCCCACCAAGACGAUGAUCGGUAUCCGGCCUGAGAGGGCGCACGGACACACUGGAACUGAAACACGGUCCAGACUCCUACGGGAGGCAGCAGUGGGGAAUUUUGCGCAAUGGGGGAAACCCUGACGCAGCAACGCCGCGUGGAGGAUGAAGCCCCUUGGGGCGUAAACUCCUUUCGAUCGGGACGAUUAUGACGGUACCGGAAGAAGAAGCCCCGGCUAACUUCGUGCCAGCAGCCGC
rnacentral:rRNA from 1 species